rnacentral:rRNA from 1 species
UGGCGGCGUGCUUAACACAUGCAAGUCGAACGAGACGAAUUUAGGAGCUUGCUUUUGGCGAGUCGAGUGGCAAACGGGUGAGUAACGCGUAGACAACCUGCCGCAAAGAUGGGACAACAGUCCGAAAGGACUGCUAAUACCGAAUGUUGUAUCUCCUCCGCAUGGAAGAGGAUAUUAAAGAUGGCCUCUACUUGUAAGCUAUCGCUUUGCGAUGGGUCUGCGUCUGAUUAGCUUGUUGGCGGGGUAACGGCCCACCAAGGCAACGAUCAGUAGGGGUUCUGAGAGGAAGGUCCCCCACAUUGGAACUGAGACACGGUCCAAACUCCUACGGGAGGCAGCAGUGAGGAAUAUUGGUCAAUGGGCGAGAGCCUGAACCAGCCAAGUAGCGUGCAGGACGACGGCCCUAUGGGUUGUAAACUGCUUUUAUAAGGGAAUAAAGUGAGUCUCGUGAGGCUUUUUGCAUGUACCUUAUGAAUAAGGACCGGCUAAUUCCGUG